rnacentral:lncRNA from 1 species
GAGGAAGAGAGCAGAUGAGAGAGAGAGAGAGAGAGACUGACUCAAGAUGGAAGCUAUAGCCUUUUUAUAACCUAAUCUCAGAAAUGACAGCUUAUCACUUUUGUUGCUUUCUAUUUGUCAGAAGCAGCUCCGUGAGUGCGGCCCACACUUAAGGAAAGACCACACAAGACGACACAAGAGACUACACAAGAUGACACUCUGAAUGCUGGGAGCCGGGAAUCAUUGGAGCAUCUUAGAAGAUGCUUACUCUAGUCUCCAAAGUCUCAGAGACAUUGGACCUAGAAUGAAUCUCACGACCUUUACUGGUGGGGAUCUAGGAUGCAGACAAAGGAAUGAAUCAUUUCGGAUCCUCAGCCUGGCGAUGGCGAAGAGCAAGAUGGAGCCAGUGGCCGUGUGCAGCACAGGUAACAUGAUGGUUCAGAAUUAGAGGUUUUUCUUCUCUUCUGUUUUGUUUUGUUUUUUUUGUUUUGGAG